rnacentral:rRNA from 1 species
CCUACGGGGGGCAGCAGUGGGGAAUAUUGGACAAUGGGCGAAAGCCUGAUCCAGCCAUGCCGCGUGUGUGAAGAAGGCCUUCGGGUUGUAAAGCACUUUUAGUGGGGAAGAAAGCCUUGGGGCUAAUACCCUCGAGGAAGGACAUCACCCACAGAAGAAGCACCGGCUAACUCCGUGCCAGCAGCCGCGGUAAUACGGAGGGUGCGAGCGUUAAUCGGAAUUACUGGGCGUAAAGCGCGCGUAGGCGGUCUGAUAAGCCGGUUGUGAAAGCCCCGGGCUCAACCUGGGAACGGCAUCCGGAACUGUCAGGCUAGAGUGCAGGAGAGGAAGGUAGAAUUCCCGGUGUAGCGGUGAAAUGCGUAGAGAUCGGGAGGAAUACCAGUGGCGAAGGCGGCCUUCUGGACUGACACUGACGCUGAGGUGCGAAAGCGUGGGUAGCAAACAGGAUUAGAUACCCGUGUAGUC